rnacentral:rRNA from 1 species
AACGCUAGCUACAGGCUUAACACAUGCAAGUCGAGGGGCAGCAUGGUCUUAGCUUGCUAAGGCCGAUGGCGACCGGCGCACGGGUGAGUAACGCGUAUCCAACCUGCCUUACACUCUUGGACAGCCUUCUGAAAGGGAGAUUAAUACAAGAUGUUAUCAUGAGUAAGCAUUUUCGCAUGAUUAAAGGUUUACCGGUGUAAGAUGGGGAUGCGUUCCAUUAGAUAGUAGGCGAGGUAACGGCCCACCUAGUCUUCGAUGGAUAGGGGUUCUGAGAGGAAGGUCCCCCACAUUGGAACUGAGACACGGUCCAAACUCCUACGGGAGGCAGCAGUGAGGAAUAUUGGUCAAUGGACGAGAGUCUGAACCAGCCAAGUAGCGUGAAGGAUGAAGGUUCUAUGGAUUGUAAACUUCUUUUAUACGGGAAUAAACGAAUCCACGUGUGGAUUUUUGCAUGUACCGUAUGAAUAAGGAUCGGCUAACUCCGUGCCAGCAGCCGCGGUAAUACGGAGGAUCCGAGCGUUAUCCGGAUUUAUUGGGUUUAAAGGGAGCGUAGAUGGGUUGUUAAGUCAGUUGUGAAAGUUUGCGGCUCAACCCCGGAAUUGCAGUUGAUACUGGAUAUCUUGAGUACAGUUGAGGUAGGCGGAAUUCGUGGUGUAGCGGUGAAAUGCUUAGAUAUCACGAAGAACUCCGAUUG